rnacentral:tRNA from 1 species
GGGGUUGGGGAUUUAGCUCAGUGGUAGAGCGCUUGCCUAGCAAGCGCAAGGCCCUGGGUUCGGUCCCCAGCUCCG